CACUUAUAUUCCUACGGGAAGCAGCAGUGAGGAAUUUUUCACAAUGGACGAAAGUCUGAUGGAGCAAUACCACGUGAACGAUGAAGGUCUUCUGAUUGUAAAGUUCUUUUAUUUAGGAAAAAAAGCGCGCUAGGAAAUGAGCGCGCCUUGAUGGUACUAAUUGAAUAAGUGACAGCUAACUAUGUGCCAGCAGCUGCGGUCC
rnacentral:rRNA from 1 species